UUUUCAAGCCAAACGUCCGCCUCGGACCUUAGGGCAAGGGGUCUCUGCAGAGGCCUUUGGAAACACAAGAGGGAUUCAUAGCAAUAUCCCUUCACCUUUCUCCGUGGGUUAUUCCAGGCCACAACGAAGCCUUCACUGCAGCUUGACGAUCCCAUUUACAGCAGAAGCAUGACCACCCCAAAGAGAGCAGCAGCAGCGGGACAGGAGGUUCUGGAGAACAUUUACGAGCAGGUUUCUGGAGACCGUCUCUAAGCCACCCAGCUCAGGAUUCACAUGACCAAACCAAGGCUGCUGAAUAAGAGUUUUGGAGCUUCUGAUCCAUCGGAGAGAUCAGAAUCUCUUCGCCCAAGUCAAUGGAUCUGCACUGAAAGCUGCAGCAGACAAAAGCCCUCAGCAUGCUGCUCUUCUGGGGAGCUACGCCCUCUCACCUCUGCUGAAAGUGGCCGUGGUCUGAAUUCCGGGUUUGUCCUUCUCCCCAGUUCCAGGCGAGGCAGAGCCUUCUGGCAGGAGGACAACAAAUCCAACAGCAAUUUAAAACACACAGUUUAACCCAGUUUGUUACAUCUCUCUCCCUGCUGGCCACUACAGCAGUGUCGUCAGUGAUGGUUUUUUCUCCCUCAUCCAUCUCCAUUCAUAUGGUCCAGAUCUUCAGACGCUAAGCAACUGCUGUUGCUAAGAUCCACUUCCUUUUCAGGCCCAUGAUAUCACCACCUACUUGAAGGGGUCAACCCUGGCUGGCAUCAUCCUCACGGCAAUCGGCCACAGAAGCUGCUGAUCGCGGUGCCAUUGCCUGUUCUGGUAACGGGGACGCCGAGCACGAGUUACCAGCGCCAACGCGCGCAUAGGUGCAGGACAACACAGGCGAGAACUGGCUUUUUAAACAGACAAAUACACAGCGGUGAAUACAACCAACAGCCCACAGCCCUCUGACCUUCUGCUGCUCAGGUUCACACCGCAAAUGGAUUGUACUUCGCAGACUCCCUGGGAGAAGCGUUUUGUCAGCAUCUGUGCAGCGCUGUUCACUCCACGCAUAAACCAGGGCAGCCUUUAAGGUGCUUUGGUGUUCCCAGAAAGAACUAAGGAGCAGCAAAACCAACGCCUCAAAACCAACGCCUCAAGCAAAGAGUUGAGAUAAGUGCCUCUGAUGAAAACAGGUGUGGUUCGGUUCAUUUAAAAGUUUAUUCCUUUAUCAAAUCUCUUUUCAGAGGAUUUCACUGUACAUAUAAGAUAUGAAUAAAUUACUCAACAGUAACUUUAUUCUGGUCAUUCAAAUACUCAAAAUGGGCUCUGCAAAGUACUAAAACAUUCAGGGAGCUAAACUAGAAAUCAGAUUAUUUUAAAAUAUCCUAAGAAAAGACUUCAUUCAUCAGGGUUUUGUUUUGUUUUUGCUUUUGUUUUUACAGGUAACAUGGGGAAAACACAACCUUUCGGAGUUUUUUUUUUUUUCCCUAAAUGGAAUAACAAAUAUAUUAGCUGUUUUAGCUGUAGUUACAACAAAUAUAACCCUCGGUGUCGGGAAUGUAAGUUAAAUAACCAGACCACCUCUCUGUUCCCUUCAGCAUCACACACUUUGGUGAACAACGAACUAAGUGAGGCCACAGAGAUUUGGCUAAAGAUACGUGGAUCUGGCUAGCAAGCUUGCACAUGAUUUGCAGUCAUACCACCUAGGCCUAAUACCUUAAAUAAAAGAAAGAUUUUGUUUCAAAAAGUUAAGGCCGGACACGGUCUCCUCUUCCCAGCCCAGAGGAUAAAGUUAACACUUAAUCAGAUGUGAUGCUUUUACAGGAAACAGAAUUGAUACAAACAAGCUAAAGAGCUGAAAAAAUGUACAGUAGGCAGCUUUUAUCUGUGUCUGAUUACAGGAAAUACUGCUGUUUCACUGCCAGCUGCAAUGCAUCAUGUGACACUGCAAAUACUUAGUUCAACUAGUACGGAGAUCAGAUUGUUACAGCACUGUAGGCCUUGGGUCACGACAGGGGGAGAAAAAAAAGGAGGAAAAAAAAAAGCAAGAAAAACAUACAUACACAGAACGCUCAUAUAUAUCCAAAAGCUCUCAGCAGCUUCUUGCGCUGGCAGAGAGAACCUCAUUGUUUUUUGUGCAGUCCACACACUGGGGUAUUUUCUCUUGUAUUCCAAGCUCUGACCUGUUAGUCUACAUCCCCUUUGAAACAAAAAAGUAGUUUCCCCUCAACGUGAUUUGAGACAGAGGCUGAUGCAGCUGAGAGCAAAAACACUAAAUUAGCCACACUUCUCCCUCCCCCCCCC